rnacentral:rRNA from 1 species
UGGGGAAUAUUGGACAAUGGGCGCAAGCCUGAUCCAGCCAUGCCGCGUGAGUGAUGAAGGCCCUAGGGUUGUAAAGCUCUUUCACCGGUGAAGAUAAUGACGGUAACCGGAGAAGAAGCCCCGGCUAACUUCGUGUCAGCAGCCGCGGUAAUACGAAGGGGGCUAGCGUUGUUCGGAUUUACUGGGCGUAAAGCGCACGUAGGCGGACUAUUAAGUCAGGGGUGAAAUCCCGGGGCUCAACCCCGGAACUGCCUUUGAUACUGGUAGUCUUGAGUUCGAGAGAGGUGAGUGGAAUUCCGAGUGUAGAGGUGAAAUUCGUAGAUAUUCGGAGGAACACCAGUGGCGAAGGCGGCUCACUGGCUCGAUACUGACGCUGAGGUGCGAAAGCGUGGGGAGCAAACAGG